UACGUAGGUGGCGAGCGUUGUCCGGAUUUACUGGGCGUAAAGGGAGCGUAGGCGGACUUUUAAGUGAGAUGUGAAAUACUCGGGCUCAACUUGAGUGCUGCAUUUCAAACUGGAAGUCUAGAGUGCAGGAGAGGAGAAUGGAAUUCCUAGUGUAGCGGUGAAAUGCGUAGAGAUUAGGAAGAACACCAGUGGCGAAGGCGAUUCUCUGGACUGUAACUGACGCUGGGGCUCGAAAGCGUGGGGAGCAAACAGG
rnacentral:rRNA from 1 species